rnacentral:rRNA from 1 species
GGGUAAGGCCCCCGGCAGACCACCGGGUUGAUAGGCCGGAACUGGAAGCACAGCAAUGUGUGGAGGUGACCGGUACUAAUAGGCCGAGGACUUACCAC